rnacentral:rRNA from 1 species
GCCGCGAGGUGGAUCAGGGUGCCAAGUGGGCCAUUUUUGGUAAGCAGAACUGGCGCUGUGGGAUGAACCAAACGCCGGGUUAAGGCGCCUAAACCGGAGCUCAUGGGAGACCAUGAAAGCGUUGGUUGCUUAAGACAGCGGGACGGUGGCCAUGGAAGUCGGAAGCCGCUAAGGAGUGUGUAACAACUCACCUGCCGAAGCAACUAGCCCUGAAAAUGGAUGGCGCUAAAGCUCCGUGCCUAUACCCGGCCGCCGGUAGGCAUAGGCGUGAGCCGCUCUUCUAGGGCGGCGAGCGCGAGAAGCCCCGGCGAGUAGGAGGGCGCGGCGGUGUGCGCGGAAGGGUCUGGGCGCGAGCCUGCCUGGAGCCGCCGCCGGUGCAGAUCUUGGUGGUAGUAGCAAAUACUCAAGCGAGGGCCUUGAGGGCUGAUGUGGAGAAGGGUUUCGUGUGAACAGCCGUUGCACACGAGUCAGUCGAUCCUAAGCCCUAGGAGAAAUCCGAUGUCGAUGCGGGGGGGACAAACAARAAAAUAAGGCUCCCCCUCGAUGGGCGAAAGGGAAUCCGGUUCCUAUUCCGGAACCCGGCAGCGGAACCAAAUCUACGGGCCCUCGUCAGAGAAGCUCGUCGGGGUAACCCAAAGGGACCCGGAGACGCCGUCGGGAGACCCGGGCAGAGUUUUCUGUUCUGCAUAAGCGUUCGAGUUCCCUGGAAUCCUCUAGCAGGGAGAUAGGGUUUGGAACGCGAAGAGCACCGCAGUUGCGGCGGUGUCCGGGUCGUCCCCUCGGACCUUGAAAAUCCGGUAGAGGGUCACGCGGAGGUGUCGCGCCGGUUCGUACCCAUAUCCGCAGCAGGUCUCCAA